UACGUAGGGCGCAAGCGUUGUCCGGAAUUAUUGGGCGUAAAGAGCUCGUAGGCGGCUUGUCACGUCGGAUGUGAAAGCCCGAGGCUUAACCUCGGGUCUGCAUUCGAUACGGGCUAGCUAGAGUGUGGUAGGGGAGAUCGGAAUUCCUGGUGUAGCGGUGGAAUGCGCAGAUAUCAGGAGGAACACCAAUGGCGAAGGCAGAUCUCUGGGCCGUAACUGACGCUGAGGAGCGAAAGCAUGGGGAGCGAACAGG
rnacentral:rRNA from 1 species